GGUUAAGCGACUAAGCGUACACGGUGGAUGCCCUGGCAGUCAGAGGCGAUGAAGGGCGUGCUAAUCUGCGAUAAGCGCCGGUAAGGUGAUAUGAACCGUUAUAACCGGCGAUACCCGAAUGGGGAAACCCAGUGUGACUCGUCACACUAUCAUUAACUGAAUCCAUAGGUUAAUGAGGCGAACCGGGGGAACUGAAACAUCUAAGUACCCCGAGGAAAAGAAAUCAACCGAGAUUCC
rnacentral:rRNA from 1 species